AUUGAACGCUGGCGGCAGGCCUAACACAUGCAAGUCGAGCGGUAGAGAGGUGCUUGCACCUCUUGAGAGCGGCGGACGGGUGAGUAAUGCCUAGGAAUCUGCCUGGUAGUGGGGGAUAACGCUCGGAAACGGACGCUAAUACCGCAUACGUCCUACGGGAGAAAGCAGGGGACCUUCGGGCCUUGCGCUAUCAGAUGAGCCUAGGUCGGAUUAGCUAGUUGGUGAGGUAAUGGCUCACCAAGGCGACGAUCCGUAACUGGUCUGAGCGGAUGAUCAGUCACACUGGAACUGAGACACGGUCCAGACUCCUACGGGAGGCAGCAGUGGGGAAUAUUGGACAAUGGGCGAAAGCCUGAUCCAGCCAUGCCGCGUGUGUGAAGAAGGUCUUCGGAUUGUAAAGCACUUUAAGUUGGGAGGAAGGGUCGUUACCUAAUACGUGACGAUUUUGACGUUACCGACAGAAUAAGCACCGGCUAACUCUGUGCCAGCAGCCGCAGUAAGAC
rnacentral:rRNA from 1 species